rnacentral:rRNA from 1 species
CCUACGGGUGGCUGCAGUGGGGAAUAUUGGACAAUGGGGGCAACCCUGAUCCAGCCAUGCCGCGUGUGUGAAGAAGGCCCUCGGGUUGUAAAGCACUUUCAGUGAGGAAGAACGCCUGGUGGUUAAUACCCAUCAGGAAAGACAUCACUCACAGAAGAAGCACCGGCUAACUCCGUGCCAGCAGCCGCGGUAAUACGGAGGGUGCGAGCGUUAAUCGGAAUUACUGGGCGUAAAGCGCGCGUAGGUGGCUUGAUAAGCCGGUUGUGAAAGCCCCGGGCUCAACCUGGGAACGGCAUCCAGAACUGUCAAGCUAGAGUGCAGGAGAGGAAGGUAGAAUUCCCGGUGUAGCGGUGAAAUGCGUAGAGAUCGGGAGGAAUACCAGUGGCGAAGGCGGCCUUCUGGACUGACACUGACACUGAGGUGCGAAAGCGUGGGUAGCAAACAGGAUUAGAUACCCGAGUAGUC